CGCUAUAAUUUUCUGGGGCAACGUAAUAUUUUUGUCACCUAAGCUUCGUCACCACAGGUCCUAUUAAGGCGACAAAAUUCUUUUUGUCGCAAAUUAUUUAUGUAGCGACGAAAACGUUAACACUUAAGCGACGAAUAAGUUUGUCGCAUUACAUCCUUAACCUAAUCGACAAAUUUACAUUUCGUCGCUUUAGUUUUAGUCUAAAGCGAUAGAACUUUUGGCUCUUGAGCGACGAAAUUGUUUGUCGCAUUAUAUCCUUAACCUAACCGAAAAAUUUACAUUUUGUCGCUUUAGUUUUAGUCUAAAGCGACGGAACUUUUGGCUCUUGAGCGACGAAAUUGUUUGUCGCAUUAUAUCCUUCACCUAACCGACGAAUUGACUUUCGUCGUUUGAAUUUAAGACUAAAGCGACGGAACUUUAGUUUGGAGCGACGAACGUGUUUGUCGCAUAAUAUCAUUAACCUAAGCGACGGAACUUUUUGACUUUAGCGACGAAAUAUUUCGUCGCUUAAGUGAAAUCUUCUUUAUAUCCUCUGCAUCAGUUCCAGAUCAAAAAACUGGAGGAAAACAGAUCGAGCUACAGUGAAAAAAAAAUCUGCAGAUUAUCAAGUUUUAAAGUUGCAAAUGGAUCAAAUCAUAGGUUAUAUACAAGUGUACAUAUUUGUGAACUAACUAUAUAUAGAAAGCAAUAUUUUUAAAAAUCUUGUGAAAUAGGAUGUGAUCGGUACAGUAAAAUACGGCUAUGGUUGAAAAAUCACAUAUUUCCAGUAAAGUUUGGUCCUAGAUAGAUGCAGUCAACCCUCUUUACCCUUAUACUUCCCUAUGGGGAGCCUUAUCGUCCGGAGGUGAACAUUCCUAAAUUUGUACAUGGGUGGUUAGAUCUCAUCAAUGUGAGAGUUUUAUAUGUGGAAGAAUCAACCAAACUAGGUUAUAUAAUGGUAGGUAAGAGCGUUUUCAUGUAAUAAGUGGCGUUGGUUUAGGUUUGACCAUGUGGAUCGAGACCCAAACUUUAACGAAAACAGGUGAAUUUUUUUCUAUAGCCGUAUUUAAGUAUAUCGAUAAUAUCAUAUAAUUAAAUUUUCAUUUUGUACUUCUUUUAUUUUUCAACUUCGAGCUUCAAUAUGUUUAGUUCACAUACCACUUUAGUCGACAAUAUUUUUUGCUAUUUAAAAAAAAAAGUUCAAAGCAAUAAAGC
rnacentral:lncRNA from 1 species